UCCUUAUCUCUUUGGCUACCUUUUUCUUUUAGAUUUGAAAACACUAUCACAUUCAAACUAACCCACAUAUAUGUUGGGAUGACUCUUCGAUCGACAACAGUUUAUAUCAAUUUAGAUUCCUUCUUUGCCCACGAAACCUCAAUUUCAUUAGCCACGACCGUCGCACGUCCGUUCAUCACCGUAAACUCCGUCACCUGAAGCCUCCGAUCUGCAACAAGUUGCGGUUCGACGACUUUGACAGCCUCCGCACAACUACAUCCACCGUGAGCCGGCUUUAAUUUGGAACCAUCAUACCCCGCCUUUCUGCCACCGCGAACUAGCUCGUUGUCGUCGCGAACCAGAUUCAGCCACCUCACGUGUUCUUGUAUCACCGCUCUUGUCUCAGCUCUAAUUUGUUUGGGUUCAACAACUAAGGUUCUUGAUUUUCGAGAUCGACUUGACUAAUUGGUCUUGCUUUGCUUGCUAUAAGGUAAUUUGGGGAAACGUGGGGAAUAAGUGAAGAGUGUCGUGAAGAUAAAGAUUUAUUGUAUAUCGGUAAUGUAAAAAAAAUGUAAUUAGGAUCUUUUGUUUUCAACGUUAUGGAUUGGUUUUAGUUUUGAUAUCUGUAUGAGUAACACGUCAGCCUGUUCAGGUUGGGGUGUUACAUGUUGCCUCUUGAA